AGCGAAGACGCCUUCAAAAUUUAGGUGCUGUACCUAAGGGAAAUGGAAAACGGAACCGAGAAUAUAGUCCAACGUGCUCAUCUAUUCUAUCUCCGAGGCCUUUGCCUGGUAUAUUCACAUGUGGUGAGGACAAUGAGGAGAAUAUUGACGACGAUUUGCAAUGGCUCGAAAAUUCUUCUGAUCCUUGGUGUUUAGUUGAAGAGAAGUGGGAGAGAACUUUAAAAGUAAGAACGCGGACUUUAUACGACGCUGGUAAAGAGAGUAUUGAAAGUUACUUUGAAAAAUAUCCAGCACUAAAAAAGCCACAAGGAUAUUCUUUGCUACACAAAGACUUCAAUGCUGCGUAUGGAAUUUACAAGGACAAUUUAUUCAUUAAUUUUCCAUUAAUGAAAAUAAAGCUUCAAGAACUUCUGAAAAACAAAAAGUCAACUGAUCCGUUCCUCCACGACCUGGUCGCACUUACCAAUUCGUCCAAUGAGGAAAAUGCGAAUAUAGCCGGAUUUCUCACCAUUCCACUGCUGCUGACACUGCGGCAGUCCGCCAAAAGAAGAAGCGAGGUUCGGGUGCAAGUCAAAGUUGGAAGCCCAGCAAAGUAGAAGUAAGGGAAGGUUUCAUAAAGCAUGUCAAGUCCAGUGCAGAAAUUAGCCAGACAAUCGAACUUCGCAUAACCGCUCUUCAAAAAGUA